rnacentral:misc_RNA from 1 species
UACAGAGGCCCCAAGCGUUAUCCGGAUUUAUUGGGCGUAAAGAGCUCAUAGGCGGUUUGCUCAGUCGAGCAUGAAAGCCCGGAGCUCAACUUCGGAUCCGUGCUCGAAACUAGCAAACUAGAGACCGGGAAGGGCAAGCGGAAUUGCCGGUGUAGCAGUUAAAUGCGUUAAUAUCGGCAGGAACACCAAUGGCGAAGGCAGCUUGCUAGAACGGUUCUGACGCUACAGAGCGAAAGCGUGGGUAGCGAAUGGG